CAUGCAGUCGAGCGGAUGACAGGAGCUUGCUCCUGAAUUCAGCGGCGGACGGGUGAGUAAUGCCUAGGAAUCUGCCUGGUAGUGGGGGACAACGUUUCGAAAGGAACGCUAAUACCGCAUACGUCCUACGGGAGAAAGCAGGGGACCUUCGGGCCUUGCGCUAUCAGAUGAGCCUAGGUCGGAUUAGCUAGUUGGUGAGGUAAUGGCUCACCAAGGCGACGAUCCGUAACUGGUCUGAGAGGAUGAUCAGUCACACUGGAACUGAGACACGGUCCAGACUCCUACGGGAGGCAGCAGUGGGGAAUAUUGGACAAUGGGCGAAAGCCUGAUCCAGCCAUGCCGCGUGUGUGAAGAAGGUCUUCGGAUUGUAAAGCACUUUAAGUUGGGAGGAAGGGCAUUAACCUAAUACGUUAGUGUUUUGACGUUACCGACAGAAUAAGCACCGGCUAACUCUGUGCCAGCAGCCGCGGUAAUACAGAGGGUGCAAGCGUUAAUCGGAAUUACUGGGCGUAAAGCGCGCGUAGGUGGUUUGUUAAGUUGGAUGUGAAAGCCCCGGGCUCAACCUGGGAACUGCAUUCAAAACUGACAAGCUAGAGUAUGGUAGAGGGUGGUGGGAAUUUCCUGUGUAGCGUGAAAUGCG
rnacentral:rRNA from 1 species